rnacentral:rRNA from 1 species
UACGGGGAGAGCAAGCGUUGUUCGGAUUUACUGGGCGUAAAGGGCGCGUAGGCGGUCGUGACAAGUCACUUGUGAAAUCUCCGGGCUUAACUCGGAACGGUCAAGUGAUACUGUCGGACUAGAGUACAGAAGGGGCAACUGGAAUUCUCGGUGUAGCGGUGAAAUGCGUAGAUAUCGAGAGGAACACCUGCGGCGAAGGCGGGUUGCUGGGCUGAUACUGACGCUGAGGCGCGAAAGCCAGGGGAGCGAACGGG